ACCGGGAGCCCGACGUGGGAUUCGAUCCCGGGUCUCCAGGAUCGCGCCCUGGGCCAAAGGCAGGCGCCAAACCGCUGCGCCACCCAGGGAUCCCUACUUUAGCAGUUUCAAGAUGAAAGCGAUUUAGUUGGGUACCUGAGGAUUUGAUAGAAAAAUAAAGCAAGGCCGCUUUUCUCUCACCUGUGUGUAUUUUUCUCUCUUCCAUAAUCUUUUAGUAAGAAAAUUACAGCCUUUCCGUUGAUAGUGUCAUAGCGUUUGCAUAUCUUGAGUUCCUUUUUCACUCAGAUGAUGAAGGAAAUAGGGACGCCUCGGUGGCUCAGCAGUUGAGCAUCUGCCUUUGGCCCAGGGCGCGAUCCUGGAGACCCGGGAUCAAGUCCCACAUCGGGCUCCCUGCAUGGAGCCUGCUUCUCCCUCUGCCUGUGUCUCUGCCUCUCUCUCUCUUUCUCUGUGUGUCUCAUGAAUAAAUAAAAUCUUUAAAAAUAUAUUUAAAAAAGAAGAUGAAGGAAAUUAUAUGUAAUAUUGGUGUCUCUUACCAAUGCGUAACGUGUGCUGACAGCAGUCAUUGGAAUUCCCAUGGGACAGCUGAGUCAGGGCUGGGAAUAUCCCAGAGUCAGCACGGCUCUCUGGAGCCAGUCGCACUGUUGACGGGACCGGCUGGUUUCCGUUAACAAGCAGGAAAAGGAGCUGGGGGCAGGAGGGGGCGCGGUGUGAGAGGCCCCACAUUCUCUGCCUCUGAGGGGCAGAAAGUUUGGCUCCCCAAGGCAUCUUUCUUUGAAUACAGAAGCAUUUUAAUCAGAACUCUAGUAACAUCAGUGAAUUUUUGCUGUAGACUUUUCCAGAACAAACCUGAAUUGCCCACUCGCUUCUUACGUGUUUCCUGUACAGCCCGGUUAAACCAUUUCUAGUUGCUUUUUUAUUCCUUUUGUCAAAUUAUUUUCAUAACGAUCAGUACCUGUUUUAUUUGGCUAAAAUUUCUCUGUCACAGUGAGUUUUCUCCUUUCACAAAACUAAACAGUCUUUUUAGCUGAAUGUCACUAAUCACAGAUUCAGUCAUGAGGUGUUUUUAUAGGUUAACGGCCAUUAUUUUGCCAACUUUGAUUUCCCUAAUUUUAGCUUUAAUUUUAUUGAGGUGGAUAUUUCGACUGUCCCCAGUUUUUCCCAGUGACCCGGUCACAGUGUCCCCAGCAUCAGAACCUGGGCAGCUCAGGCCGCCCACUUCCCUCCAGGUCACCUCCAAGCUCUGCAUGGCGCUCCCUCCCCUCCCUCCAUGCCUGCAGCCCCCCCAGCGCCCCAGCCUCUCCCCACCUGCGGCCCCCCAGGAGAGCUUGCUCUGGAGAGGCCUUUCAGCCUUCAGUGCCUAGCGAGGCGUCGAGCCCUCGGAGGCCCGAGGAGCCAGUGGCACUCAUCCGGCGCCCCCCCACCCCAGGCCUGGCAGGAUGGCUGGUACACAGGGGAGGGAGAGCAAGGCGGCAGGGGCUCGGAGCUGCCCUGUUUUGAGCGCUCACCUGAAGAGUUAAGCACUCGAUGGCCUUCGUCUCUUGGGACUCACUGAUGCACAGAGAGCGGCCGGUGACCAUCGUCCCUCCUUGAAGCAUCGCAGCCCCAGCAGCCUCCCCACAGUGAACUGAGAAGAUUGCCACUCGACACCAUGAACCUUCCUGCUUUUUGACCCAGAGAGCCUUGGGCUCAAAGAUCUUUCUGCUUCUUACCUGCCUUUCCCCUGUCCUCCUCCUAUUGAAAAGCUGCUUUAGGCUUUUGAGCACCGAAUAAACCACGACGGCAUUUGCUAUCGUUAAAUAUACAUAAACAUUUCCAAACGACAAAAAUCACACGGAGGGAAAUUUCCUGAGCAUUCCUGUUGUGUGUGGUCAUCUACGUGAAUAAAGCCUGUCUGCCCCUCACUGCAUCACACCAAAACCGCCACAUAUUAGAGCCCUGUUUGGUGGGGGGGGAGUGACUUAAAAUACGGGGUGCAUGUAGACACAGGGCCACCCCAAGAUGCUCUGCAGCCGUGGCUCAGCAACAGGGCGACCCUCCCACCAGAGCCGGGUGAGGCUGCUCGGGAGGGCCAGGGCAGAGUCUGGGUUCCAAGGAUGAGCCCCCGAGGGGCACCGGGCACCCCCUCUAGCACUUGGCCAGAGGUACCUGCCAGCUGCUUCCCCAAGGAGCAACUUCAAAGUAGGCCCUCACGAGGAAUGGGUUCUCUUACCGGCCUACCUUCUAAUCAGCCCUUUGGCUUUGCCUCUCUGCAGGCCCCGAGCAGACCACCUCCUACAGGAAGGCCCCCGCCUCUCCAUGAGCUGUGCACGUGUAGGAGCCGGCUUCUCCUGUGCCUUCAGAUAGUCUGAAAACUUCUUGGUCACUGCCCAGAGCUCAGCAUGGUUCGAGGCACGGGGAGGGUCCCCCGUGGAUCCUUGAUGACAGCUGAACAUUUCAUUCCUAGGGACCGAGUGUGAACCAGACGACACGGGGGAACAGUUCUGUUCUCCUAAAGUGCUCGCUGCUUAUCACAAUUUGAAUGAAGUGAUUUAUCCUCUUCCCCACGCACCGCACAGCCAGGGACGAUCGGGACACUUGCUCCGUCUGCCCCGCUCACCUCAACGUCUGGACUGGACACGUAGAGAAAGGGCGGAGCCGGGGGGGCUGCCUGUGUCCCCGCCCUCGCUGCACCCGCCUUGGAGGCUGCUCCAGGGCGACCC